rnacentral:rRNA from 1 species
GACGAACGCUGGCGGCAGGCUUAACACAUGCAAGUCGAACGCAUCCUUCGGGGUGAGUGGCAGACGGGUGAGUAACGCGUGGGAACGUGCCCCUCAGUUCGGGAUAACCCAGGGGAACUUGGGCUAAUACCGGAUACGUGCGAGAGCAGAAAGAUUUAUCGCUGAAGGAUCGGCCCGCGUCUGAUUAGCUAGUUGGUGGGGUAAUGGCCCACCAAGGCGACGAUCAGUAGCUGGUCUGAGAGGAUGAUCAGCCACAUUGGGACUGAGACACGGCCCAAACUCCUACGGGAGGCAGCAGUGGGGAAUAUUGGACAAUGGGCGCAAGCCUGAUCCAGCCAUGCCGCGUGAGUGAUGAAGGCCUUAGGGUUGUAAAGCUCUUUCGUCCGGGACGAUAAUGACGGUACCGGAAGAAGAAGCCCCGGCUAACUUCGUGCCAGCAGCCGCCGUAA